UACAGAGGUCCCGAGCGUUGUUCGGAUUUACUGGGCGUAAAGGGUGCGUAGGUGGCAGGGUAAGUUCGGUGUGAAAGCUUCGAGCUCAACUCGGAAAUGGCAUUGAAUACUAUCCUGCUUGAGGAUCGGAGGGGAGACUGGAAUUCUCGGUGUAGCAGUGAAAUGCGUAGAUAUCGAGAGGAACACCAGUGGCGAAGGCGGGUCUCUGGACGAUUCCUGACACUGAGGCACGAAAGCUAGGGGAGCAAACAGG
rnacentral:rRNA from 1 species